CGCGCAGGCGGCCAGGUCAGUCGAAUGUGAAAGCCCCCGGCUCAACUGGGGAAGGUCAUUCGAUACUGCCUGGCUUGAAGAUAGGAGAGGGAAGCGGAAUUUCAGGUGUAGUGGUGAAAUGCGUAGAUAUCUGAAGGAACACCAGUGGCGAAGGCGGCUUUCUGGCCUAUUCUUGACGCUGAGGCGCGAAAGCUAGGGGAGCGAACA
rnacentral:rRNA from 1 species